rnacentral:rRNA from 1 species
AUUGAACGCUGGCGGCAUGCCUUACACAUGCAAGUCGAACGGCAGCACGGGUGCUUGCACCUGGUAGCGAGUGGCGAACGGGUGAGUAAUACAUCGGAACAUGUCCUGUAGUGGGGGAUAGCCCGGCGAAAGCCGGAUUAAUACCGCAUACGAUCUACGGAUGAAAGCGGGGGACCUUCGGGCCUCGCGCUAUAGGGUUGGCCGAUGGCUGAUUAGCUAGUUGGUGGGGUAAAGGCCUACCAAGGCGACGAUCAGUAGCUGGUCUGAGAGGACGACCAGCCACACUGGGACUGAGACACGGCCCAGACUCCUACGGGAGGCAGCAGUGGGGAAUUUUGGACAAUGGGCGAAAGCCUGAUCCAGCAAUGCCGCGUGUGUGAAGAAGGCCUUCGGGUUGUAAAGCACUUUUGUCCGGAAAGAAAUCCUUGGCCCUAAUACGGUCGGGGAUGACGGUACCGGAAGAAUAAGCACCGGCUAACUACGUG